GAACUUGUCCGGGUCACACGGCUAGUGGAGGGUCAGGACCCUGCUCUGUCAAUAAGCCCAGUGACUUAACUGGGGGCCGACUGGUGACCUGGGGCCAGUGCUUAACCUCUCGGCCUCUACGGAGGGGCCGGAAGACACGAGGGGCAAAAUCCAGAGUGGCCAGGGCUGAGGUCCAGGCUUCAAGUCCCUUCCACUUACUUGGAGCACACACAACACUGUGAAGUCCACCAUCAGACCUGACCCGCGGAUCGUCAAUAACUUUUCUCCUGACCCGACCCAAAGAAAAAACAGCUCUCAGAAUGUUUUUGCUCAACCAGUAGAAUUUUCUGUUUUUAGGGCCUGAUUACUUCGCCUGUUGCACUCUUGGUGGCUGCUCGGUCCUACGCAGUUGUAAGACUCUUAAGUUCACAAGAAUAACCCCGUCUUCCCUGUGGGAAAUUAAUAGGGCAGAAGAAAACAGCCCUGAAAUGUAAUGGUUAACAUGCUGAGUCACCAGCCGACUAGAACUGAAACGAAACCGCCCUCUUGGGUCCUGUCCCUGCCCUAUAGAUUUUGUAAAUAAACAUGCCUUAGCCAGGUGACGCUGACCCGUCCCUUUCCAGUGCCUCCCUCUAGGAAGCUCCUUGCUUUCCCUUAAGUCAGUCAAUCUGUGCCUCACUGUGACCCACCCUUAAAUCCUUUCUGCAAGGAAGUCAAGGACACUCUGGGCCUGAGAUGGAGUCUUCCUGUUUGGGGACCUUCUCAAGACUUGUCCCUCUGACAAGGAGAAAACCUUCCCAUCUCCUUCCUGCCGAC
rnacentral:lncRNA from 1 species